GUGGAGAUGCUGGAGGUUCAGGGGGAAAACCAAAACACAUUGUUGAUGAUACAGGAAUUCUUUUUCACAGGUGAUGGAAGGAAUUCUACAGUGCUACUGUUUCUGGAGACGUGCAGCAUAUAAAUCCAGAGCGGGAUUGCAGUUCAGCAAACACAUGCAUCUACUAUUUCCUGAUGUGGAGCUCUAGGCAACCCUUGUUCUGCUGUUUAGAUCAUGUUUAUGCACUAUUUAGGGAAUCUUAUCUCUGGAUUUCAUUGUGAGGAUUCUAUAUGCUAAGCCUAGGGCUUGGAGUUCCUGAGGUCUGUCCAAAGUCUGGCCACAGAAAGAUUGGUUUGUUGUGUUGCAGGAUCACCAC
ensembl:lncRNA